rnacentral:tRNA from 1 species
UCCCUCAUAGCUCAGUUGGUAAAGAAUCUGCCUGCAAUGCAGGAGACCCGGGUUCGAUUCCUGGGUGGGGAA